rnacentral:rRNA from 1 species
GACACCUACGGGAGGCAGCAGUGAGGAAUAUUGGUCAAUGGGCGGAAGCCUGAACCAGCCAAGUCGCGUGAGGGAAUAAGGCCCUACGGGUCGUAAACCUCUUUUGCCGGGGAGCAAGGGCGGGGACGUGUCCCGGCCCGGAGAGUACCCGGAGAAAAAGCAUCGGCUAACUCCGUGCCAGCAGCCGCGGUAAUACGGAGGAUGCGAGCGUUAUCCGGAUUUAUUGGGUUUAAAGGGUGCGUAGGCGGGCUUUUAAGUCUGAUGUGAAAGCCUUCGGCUUAACCGGAGUAGUGCAUUGGAAACUG